GCUUCAUUUCAGGGACUGUGGAAGUCAAUGGAUGACGUCAGAGAUGAUGCGUCUAAUUAUAUAUUAAGUCUAUGGUAUGAGCGCGGCGUGCCACGAGAGAAGAGUGCAGCUACAGCAGAGAGAAUGAGAGAGAAACGCUCCGUCUUUGUCCCACCAGGGGGUUUUGUGCAACGUUUUUUCUUUCUUUUUUUUUCUAAAAUCACUAAUUAAUACUUAAUACAAAUAGGCUUAAAAUAAAAUAAAGUAAAAUUUAAAUAAGUAAUUAAAUAAAUACAGAGCACAAGGGCACUUCUUGAUAUGAGCCAAAAAGGGGUGCUCAAGCACCCCAGGGCCCUAUGUGUGCACGUGCCUGCUUGUCAAAGUUUCUAAGUAAAUAUUGAAAUGAAAUUGAGUGGAAGAGGAGGAAUACACAUGGUAUUUUGGGUGCAUUUUGAGAAAAACCAGUUUGAGAACAGAACACCUCUAUUGCUUCAAGAGGUUUUUUUCAUGUUGACUCAAAAAUUGGGGUGGCAAAGCUUUUUGCUGUGGUGGCAGGCUGGCAGCAGCCCCCCUUGUAGCUCCGCCCCUGGAGAGUUGAUGUCACUUUUGUUCUACCUCGUCUUCUUGGCUCCCAAACUCAUUCAGACUGAAUACAAAAUAGCGUUCAUAUCCAUAAUUUUUAACAGUGAUUUUCUUAAAUUCCCCUGUUCACCUGCAUGCCAUGGACUCCUUUCUGUUCCUAUCAUUAGUCGCUGUCCAUGGUGCUGCUAUAGCAGGAAUACGCAGACAUGCAGCACGGACGCGGAUGUAACGUCAUCCGCAGAGGUUGUUCAGAGUAGAUGGAGCUCCGUGACAGGAGGAGUCGGUGACUGCUACAUCUGAACUCAAAUGUUUCAAAUAACAAGACCGAAAGCACUUUCAGCUGCAGCUCUAACAGAAGAGCGCAUGCGCACUUUCGACACCUGCCUUCCACCAUCCAUUUCUCAGCUCGCGGCUCCACCCCCGCCGUUCUUCAGUCACGCAGGGCACGCUGCAGUAUAUAGCCGUCUGCUGUGGACAGCUUCAUCCCCGCACUUCUGCGUCAUUCUGAACGAACCCCGCAACGCGAUCUACUGCAGCCGUGAAGAUGGCGGCCCGGGCUAGAAGAAAAGUCAGCCAUCCAUAAUUCCUGAAGGCACCCUCUACCUGGGACUGGAACUCCAGGGCCGUCUUGGGGUCCAUCAUGGCCGGAACGUACUGUCAGGGCAGGAUUUGGGGGACCAACCAAAGAUGACAGACAAAGGAGUGCAAGAACAAGACACAGAACACAGAAAGGUCGUUAUAUUUUAUAAG